GGGGAAUUAGCUCAGUGGUAGAGCGCUUGCCUAGGAAGCGCAAGGCCCUGGGUUCAGUCCCCAGCUCCG
rnacentral:tRNA from 1 species